AGCAGCCGCGGUAAUUCCAGCUCCAAUAGCGUAUAUUAAAGUUGCUGCAGUUAAAAAGCUCGUAGUUGAAUUUCGGGACCAAUAUGUCGGUCGUGCCUCGGUACGUACUGGCAUCGUUGGUUUCUCCCUUCUGACGAACCAUGAUGUCAUUUAUUUGGUGUCGUGGGGAACCAGGACUGUUACUUUGAAAAAAUUAGAGUGUUUAAAGCAGGCUCACGCUUGAAUACAUUAGCAUGGAAUAAUGAAAUAGGACGUUUGAUUCUAUUUUGUUGGUUUCUAGGAUCGACGUAAUGAUUAAUAGGGAUAGUUGGGGGCAUUAGUAUUCAAUUGUCAGAGGUGAAAUUCUUGGAUUUAUUGAAGACUAACUACUGCGAAAGCAUUUGCCAAGGAUGUUUUCAUUAAUCAAGAACGAAAGUUAGGGGAUCGAAGACGAUCAGAUACCGUCGUAGUCUUAACCAUAAACUAUGCCGACUAGGGAUCGGAUGAUGUUAAUUUUUUAAUGACUCA
rnacentral:rRNA from 1 species